CACUUUUUUUGCCGAGCACUUCCUCCAGUAAUAUAGUAUAGCUCAGUGCUCGGAGCCAGUGCUUCCAUUUUCAAAAUCAAAAUUUCUCAUUUUUGUCAUCAAAAUUUCUCUAAAUUCCUUAGAUUGUAUACGUUAUUUCCUUGAAAAUUCCUUGAAAUUUCAUUAGGCGGUUUGCAGACCUUUGCAGUGCUUUUGUAGCAAUACAAAGGAUUUAAUCAAUUUUAAAGGCACAAAAUAGCACAACUAACAAAGAUGAUUGCUAGCUAAAAAACCACAGGCUAUUAUACUGUUUAAAAUUAAAUAUUUGUCAUGAGUUUACAACAUACACCUUUCCAUUGAUAUAAAAAAUUAAUUAUUCACAGCGUUUGGCGCCAAAGUUACUAAAUCCCAUCGCUCAAAAACUUUCGGAAGUUUUCGGAAACACGAGGGAAAAGUUAAAAACAGAUUUUUGAUUAAACAUAAUUGAUAAUUCACUCAAAAAUUCAAGAAAUAGUGAAACUUUCUUCUGCACUAAUGCCAUUGGAUGAAUAUUUAAGUUGUUCGGAAAAAUCCUUAGAUUUCCUUAGAUUUUUUCACUUCCUUAGAUUUUCCUUUUCGACACUAGAAUUUCCUUAGAAAAGGAAAUUUCCUUGAAAAUGGAAGCACUG